AGGCGCCUACGGGGGGCAGCAGUGGGGAAUAUUGCACAAUGGGGGAAACCCUGAUGCAGCGACGCCGCGUGAAGGAUGGAGUAUUUCGGUAUGUAAACUUCUAUCAGCAGGGAAGAAAAUGACGGUACCUGACUAAGAAGCCCCGGCUAACUACGUGCCAGCAGCCGCGGUAAUACGUAGGGGGCAAGCGUUAUCCGGAUUUACUGGGUGUAAAGGGAGCGUAGACGGUAUGGCAAGCCUGAUGUGAUA
rnacentral:rRNA from 1 species